rnacentral:lncRNA from 1 species
AUGUACUUUCUUCUUCAAGUACAUCCAGAAGAAACAACUAGUACUUGGGCGAACCGUUUCACCCUUAGCUGUGCCCAACUUGCCUCUUUCUGCUUCUUCUUCCAUCUUCAUUUUCUUCUUGUGGAGGCAUCUCAGCACAUGUGCUUCAGCAAGACUAUAACCAGCAGUGGACAUGGCCUACUUUUAUUUUAUUGUUGGUUUAAAAAAAAA